UGGUUCAGUUCAGCAG
rnacentral:miRNA from 1 species